rnacentral:rRNA from 1 species
UACAGAGGUCUCGAGCGUUAGGCGGAAUCACUGGGCUUAAAGCGUGUGUAGGUGGAUCGUUAAGUACCUUGUGAAAUCCCACGGCUUAACCGUGGAACUGCUUGGUAUACUGGCGGUCUUGAGCCAGCUAGGGGCUACCGGAACAAAUGGUGGAGCGGUGAAAUGCGUAGAUAUCAUUUGGAACGCCAAUGGUGAAAACAGGUAGCUGGGGCUGUUCUGACACUGAGACACGAAAGCCAGGGGAGCAAACGGG